CAGAACGAACGCUGGCGGCGUGCUUAACACAUGCAAGUCGAACGCGAAAGGGACUUCGGUCCUGAGUAAAGUGGCGCACGGGUGAGUAACGCGUAGAUAACCUGUCUUCAUGUCUGGAAUAAUACGCCAAAGGGGUACUAAUACCGGAUAUUCUUGCUUUUCAUAAGUUAUGCAAGCAAAGGUGGCCUCUGCAUAUGCUACUGCAUGAAGAGGGGUCUGCGUACCAUUAGCUAGUAGGUGGGGUAAUGGCCUACCUAGGCGACGAUGGUUAGCGGGUCUGAGAGGAUGAUCCGCCACACUGGCACUGGAACACGGGCCAGACUCCUACGGGAGGCAGCAGUGAGGAAUAUUGCGCAAUGGGGGAAACCCUGACGCAGCGACGCCGCGUGAGUGAGGAAGGCCUUCGGGUCGUAAAGCUCUGUCAAGAGGAAAGAAGUGUACAAUGGCUAAUACCUGUUGUAUUUGACGGUACCUCUAAAGGAAGCACCGGCUAACUCCGUGCCAGCCGCGGC
rnacentral:rRNA from 1 species